UACGUAGGGGCCUAGCGUUGUCCGGAUUUAUUGGGCGUAAAGAGCGCGUAGGCGGCCGAGUAAGUCCGACGUGAAAUCUGGAGGCUCAACCUCCAGCGGUCGUUGGAAACUACUCGGCUAGAGACCGGAAGAGGAGAGUGGAAUUCCUGGUGUAGCGGUGAAAUGCGCAGAUAUCAGGAAGAACACCGGUGGCGAAGGCGGGUCUCUGGGCCACUACUGACGCUGAGGAGCGAAAGCGUGGGGAGCGAACAGG
rnacentral:rRNA from 1 species